ensembl:snoRNA SNORA74 Small nucleolar RNA SNORA74
UCCAGUGGAUGUCAGCUGUGCAGGCCUGUAUCGUGCCUGGGCUAGUGUUACUCUGCUGGGAAAGAAAGGCACUGCUGUUUCGACGCAGGAGUCGCUGUUUUGGUGGCAUCUUGAUGCUCAGCUGUAGUGCCUUGCCCCACUGAGAGUGGACUCUUCCCCCAUCCUUGGGAACAGCCCUAGUCUGUGGGCAAACAAU